rnacentral:rRNA from 1 species
GACGAACGCUGGCGGCGUGCUUAACACAUGCAAGUCGAGCGGUAAGGCCCUUUCGGGGGUACACGAGCGGCGAACGGGUGAGUAACACGUGGGUGACCUGCCCUCAGCUCUGGGAUAAGCCUGGGAAACCGGGUCUAAUACCGGAUAUGACUCCAUGACGCAUGUUGUGGGGUGGAAAGCCUUGUGCGGCUGAGGAUGGGCCCGCGGCCUAUCAGCUUGUUGGUGGGGUGAUGGCCUACCAAGGCGACGACGGGUAGCCGGCCUGAGAGGGCGACCGGCCACACUGGGACUGAGACACGGCCCAGACUCCUACGGGAGGCAGCAGUGGGGAAUUUUGGACAAUGGGCGCAAGCCUGAUCCAGCCAUGCCGCGUGCGGGAUGAAGGCCUCGGUUGUAACCG